rnacentral:tRNA from 1 species
UUAUUAAUACCAUAAUAAAUGGAUUUAACUUCGAAUUAAAUUAU